AUGAGAACAAUGGAGGUUGUAGUACGUUGUUCCUGCUUCCUCUCUCCUCCUCACUCUCCACGUCCUCUGUUCUGCUCCAACAACACCAAUCUUCACCUUUCAGGAAAAUUCACUUGUCUUUCUUUAAAACUGGACAAGGUUGUGCCACUCUUAAAAGAUACUCUUAAUGGAUCUUCUAAGAUUUCAACUGUGCUUCACUGCUUAAACUGUAAGGAAGACAUGCCUCAAAGAUUCCCUUUGCCGUUGUUUCUUGCGAGCAAUAUUUUGAUGUUUUUAAUGCCUUGUAAAGCUUUGGCCGAGACCUGUGAAACUGAUAACUCUCUAUUCAAUUUCUCUUCUCAAUUUCCUCAGUUCAAAACCCACGCAUUCCUAUCCAUUCCCUAA